rnacentral:misc_RNA from 1 species
UGGGUGUUCAGAGGUUUCUCUGCUUGCGCCAUUGGAUUAGAAAAGGAAUUGAAGUAAGAAAGAUUGAUAACAGUUCAGUGAUACCCAGAUGAGGAAUUUUGAUUAGGAAAUAAAAUUCUAGCACAUGAUACUCAAGGAAGAGAUGAAUUCAGGACAAGAAGUUCAAAGGAAGGGGAAAAAAAAAAAGAAGCUCCAAACUUCCAUUUUCUCCCCGGAAAACUAAUCUCGCCACAGGCAGCACAAAGUUAUCAACUUUCCAAGCCAAAAUUUCCCGUGAAAACAUUGAAACAGACACAUGGAGAGAGAGAGAGAGAGAGAGAGACAGCA